UACGUAGGUGGCGAGCGUUGUCCGGAUUUACUGGGCGUGAAGAGCGCGCAGGCGGCUGGUCAAGUCCGAUGUGAAAGCUCCCGGCUUAACUGGGAAAUUGCAUCGGAAACUGAUCGGCUGGAAGGUGGGAGAGGGUAGCGGAAUUCCCGGUGUAGUGGUGAAAUGCGUAGAUAUCGGGAGGAACACCUGAGGCGAAGGCGGGCUACUGGGCCGAUACUGACGCUGAUGCGCGAAAGCCAGGGGAGCAAACGGG
rnacentral:rRNA from 1 species